GAAAGGAUUGGGAGGACGAAUGAAAAGAUACCUUUCCUUUAGACAUUUCUAAGCUCGCAAAUGCACAGGCAAUGAGAACCACCUCUCUUCACUCCCUGGCAUUUGAGGCUUUUUACGUAAAAAUUUAAACUAAUGACUAUAUUAGAAAUUUUUAAAUGUUUAAAAAAAGUAUGUUGUAAAAUUGAGGAAAUAUAGUAUUUUGAGAGUUCAGACACGUUCAUGCAGUUGACUGAGCCUAAGUGUUGGGUUAAUCCUAGUAAGUGAUUGAUCUUUUUAGGUAGGUAAGGGAAUAAACAGAAGAUCAGAAAAGAAGAGGUACUACUAUUACAUUUUAAGUUUCCAGAUAUACUACUAAGUGUCUCUAGUAAAACUUAACUCAUUGAAGAAGAAAAUAGUCUGACUCUAAAAAAAGAGUGUGUGUUCCUGAGAAAGACUAAACCAGUUAUUUUCUCCUUUCAUGUUUGAAUGAAUAACCAUCAGCAAGGGAGAGACGCACUGACCCUCUGCCAGGAAUCCUAGAGUUCCUUGGAGAGGAUAUGAAGGUUAUUUUCAGGCCAUGCAGAUGGGCAGGAAAGGAUGUGCGUCCAUGGUUCCUCUUCAAAUUCAACCAAAACAGCCUUGCUUCCGUUGGCUUUAUAUAAUACUGCAACUCUUGAUAAUUAAUCUGAUUUAACACAAAUUUCCUCAUUGAGUUUCUCCUCAUGAAGAAACGGCCUUAGUGAGGUAAAUCGGAAUGCACAGGAGCACAUAGCAGGUUAGUGCAGACCAGAAAUCAAACCCA
rnacentral:antisense_RNA from 1 species